rnacentral:rRNA from 1 species
AUGACCUACCCGAAAGGUUUAAACGGGGCUCAAAAAGUUGCCAGAGGGGUACGGAAGAUUUAUAAAUCGGACCGGGCCCGGGGGAUAGGGAUAACUACUCGAAACUGUGGCUACUUCCGCAUACCCCCUACGGGGGAGAGGGGGUGAUCCCUUGACCUCUCACUAUUGGCUCGGCCGAUUUCGCAUUUUGGUGAGGGUGGGGUUAACGAUCACCACGGUCCGUAUCUGUAGCUGGAUUGAGAGGACGACCACUCGACUGAAACACAGUCAAGACUCCUACUCCUGGCAGCAGUGGGGAAUAUGAAUUUUGGGGAAUGGGCCUGAUCCAGACACGCCCCUUGUGUUAGUAGGAGUGCGCCUUGUAAUGGAAUUUAACUUUUGGGAGAGGCAGAGGUAUCCCCCCUGCGGGAUGCUGCUGACGGCAUCUUAAGAACCGGCUCAGUUAAGUCCUGCCCGCGCCAUGGUAAUGCGGCAGGGCGCUAACCUUAAUUGAGUUCUUAGCCUAACCC